rnacentral:sRNA from 1 species
GAGAAAUUCAUCUUUCCCGGUGGAGGUACUAUGUUCCCCAACGGUGUUGGCAAAUAUGUUGAUUUAAUGCAAGAUAUGAUCCCAGAAAUGAAAGAUGGGACCAUUCGAACUGCCAUUGAUACUGGUUGUGGGGUUGCUAGCUGGGGUGGUGACUUGCUUGAUCGUGGGAUUCUAACUCUUUCUCUUGCACCAAGAGACAACCAUGAAGCUCAGGUUCAAUUUGCUCUGGAGCGUGGUAUUCCUGCAAUUCUCGGUGUUAUUUCUACUCAG